CGGGAGGCAGCAGUGGGGAAUUUUGGACAAUGGGCGCAAGCCUGAUCCAGCUAUUCCGCGUGUGGGAUGCAGGCCCUCGGGUUGUAAACCACUUUUGUAGAGAACGAAAAGACACCUUCGAAUAAAGGGUGUUGCUGACGGUACUCUAAGAAUAAGCACCGGCUAACUACGUGCCAGCAGCCGCGGUAAUACGUAGGGUGCGAGCGUUAAUCGGAAUUACUGGGCGUAAAGGGUGCGCAGGCGGUUGAGUAAGACAGAUGUGAAAUCCCCGAGCUUAACUCGGGAAUGGCAUAUGUGACUGCUCGGCUAGAGUGUGUCAGAGGGAGGUGGAAUUCCACGUGUAGCAGUGAAAUGCGUAGAUAUGUGGAAGAACACCGAUGGCGAAGGCAGCCUCCUGGGACAUAACUGACGCUCAGGCACGAAAGCGUGGGGAGCAAACAGGAUUAGAUACCCUGGUAGUCCACGCCCUAAACGAUGUUAACUAGUUGUUGGGAAGUAAAAUUCUCAGUAACGC
rnacentral:rRNA from 1 species